GUUUUUGAAGCUCGCUGUUUGUUACUCCUGUGCAAUGUUUUUCGGGAAGGUGAUGGUUGAUGGAUGGAUGUGUGAAUUGAGUUGUGUUAUCUCUUGAUUAAUUUUGGAUAACAAGUAGUUAAAAAACAUUUGAUUACUAUGUAGUUUUGUCCAAUGUGUCAUAAUAAACUUUGAUAAAUGUAUGGCCUGUAUAAUGUUACAUGUCGGUUUCCCCCACUUUUGGAAAAACUUGAAUAACAGUGGAAGUGGACAUUUUAUUUCAUAGAUGGGUUGCUAAAACUCCGUCAAUAGUGAACUGCCUGUGACAGUGUACUAUUUUAUGUGAAACAAUGGAUGACUUCCCAGUUUAUAAUCAACAAGACGUCUGUGACCUAAACGACGAGAAAACGUCAAUUACAGGUGGAAAGUCUGUCUCAGAAAUAGUUCAGCUUCUGAGAACAAAGGCAAAGCUAAAAAUCUCCAAGGGGCUUGAAGAUAGUGAAGAUGUGGAUGAUCAACCAAGUAAAUCAAAUCAAGUUUUUCCUUGGAUGAACAAGUUCACCGCACUGUGUAAAGAAGUUAUCCUGGAACCAAACAUUAAAAAGCUUGAUGAACUCAUCACUCAAUUUUUGAAGUAUAUUGGAGAAGACGUCAAACAAUGCUACAACAAACCAAAACGUGCGUACAAGCUCAGGACAAGAAUGAACGUGUUCAUGGUGUUUUUCCACAUGAUGUAUUGGGAGAUCAAAAGACCACUGGAACACACCUCAUAUUUGGACAAGAUGAGUGAUCUCUUGGCACACUAUAUUGAUGUGGAGAUGAAAUCAUCAAGAAGAGGUAGAGAGCAUCCAAAGAAGAUUUCUGAGCGUAUCUGCACAUCACUUUAUUUGUUUUUGGACAAAUCUCCAGAUCACAUUUUGGAUACCGUUUUGAAGGCAAAGUUCUUUGUCAAGAAGUACAGUGACAUCUGCGUUCCUGUCAUGGCGAGACUACUAAAUGAUAAUCCUGGCCAAGUGUACGAAACUACCUAUGUUAGGUAUUUGCUGUCAUUUAAAUUGUGGAAGAAACUGGCAGGGAAGGAACACUAUGUCAACAUCAACAAGGAGGCAGUGGCCAAACUGAAGCCUCCUCCGGACUUUGCAGAGAAAUUGAAAAGUGGAUUAUUUUCCAAUGUCCUUCCUUAUGUCUCCAAAUCUGAGAAAGACAGAAUUACUCUUUUCUUCAUGCAGUCACCGUUCAAUGUUAAAAAGAAGGCACAGUUAUUCCUGAAAGAUGGAAGAAAAGUGCAACCUACUGGUGAUUUAGAGAAAGCAUUUUUGUUUGAAGAAGACUUCAACUUAAAUAAUUUGUUUAUUGACGACUCACAAGACGAUGAAAACAAUCCUGACUUAAUGAAUGAAAUCUGGGGUUCAAUCAUGGAAAGUGAUCCCGAAUCUGUUUGCUUAGAUGAUCUUUUUAGUAUGGAAAACUCCAAUGAAGAUGACAAAAUUAUAAUUGAUCUGGAAAACACCAAAUCCAAAGAGAAAACAAGAAAAGUUUCCAAAGAGAAAACUAAUGGUGUCUUGAAAGGACCAACAAAAAAACGCAAAUCAGUAAAAUUUAGUUCAUGUGUUUCGGUCAAAAAUGUUUUGAACAAAGAAUCAUCCGAACUAAUCAGGACAGACAAGCCUAAAUCCUUAAUUCCUGUUACAUCCAAAGAGGAUAGUUCUUUUUCAACUCUUUUGAAAUUAGAAGAAAGUUUGAAAAAAGAAGAUAAACCUAGUUUGUCAUCAUCUCAGUGUUCAGAUCCACAGAAACCUCAAAAACCUUGUGCAACAGUCGAGCCAGAACAGUGUAAGGAACUAGAACCGGACAGUCGAAGCAAAAAUACAAAUGUAAUACAUGUCAAAAGUCCUCAAAAAAUCUCUUUUAAUUCUUUAGAAACUGUUAACAGAGCAAAAGAUGACCAACUUAAAUCAAAUUCUGAGAAUUCUGUUAGGUCUCUGAUUUUAAAUACAGACCACAAUAUUAGUUCAGUUGCUAGUUCUGAAGUUGAAGUUGUUCCCUCUGAAGUAGCUGACUCUUCUGGAAUAUGCGAAGAAAUCAAAGUUGAGACAAAUCCUGAGGAAAUGUUUGUUGUAAGUGAUCUGUAUAAAGAUAUUAAAGGAGAUGAAGUGCCCAUUGAGGAAGACCAAUUGGUAGCACAAGAAGUAGUCAUAAGGACUGAAAUGAGCCAAGAAGAUAUGUGUCCUAGAUUUGUUGUCAUGGAUGAGAACGGACAAAGCAAGCUGGAUGAACAUGAUAUUAUGAAUGUAAUAAGUAUAUCUAAAGAUCCAGCUAUGUUUGGCUCUGAUUCUGUAAUAAUUAAUUCAAGUGCUUGGAAAAGAAGUCAAGAUAAACAAGAAGUUCAGACUGAAAUUGUUUCCUUGCUUGAAAAUCAAAAUUCCGUUAGUGGCACAAUUCAACCUAAAGGAAAUAGCACAAAAGAGCAAUCUUCAGUUUCACCUGAAAAUCACCAGUUUUUAUCUUCUAUAGUUGCAUCAUCGGAAAGUAAUGAUAAUUAUGUUUCUUUUGAUAGACGACAUGAUAGUUAUAUUUACAAUGACUAUUUUCUUACAAGGCUAUUUUCAGAAGUGAAUGGUGAUGAUGGAUCAGAUGAUGACAACAGAUGUAACAAUCGCAGCAGAUAUGCAGGGGGAGGGAAAAUUCCAGCUUUCAGAGAACAGAGUGAGGAAAGUAAAUCUGAUGGAGGAGAAGAAUUUGAAUCUCCUUCUCCAGCAAGCCGCAGUGACUCUCAGAGGAGUACAGUGGAAGCUUCACCGGAAAUGAACAAUACACAACCCACUAACACAGAUCUAAUGUCUCAGGAGUAUGAUGUAGCUGAUAAAUCUCCUGCUUUGGUUCUGACCCAACCCAUAAUGGUGUCUGAACAAAAAUCUCCAUCCCCACCUCUUCGAGAAGUUUGUGUUAGUUUACCAUACAUUUCUGGAUCAGAAAAUCUCAACGAUUAUGUAACAGAUAAAGAGAAGAUUUGUCCUAAAGGUAUGUGUGAACCACCUAACAAUAUGUUGCAUAUUAAGACUGUAGAUGAUGACUCCAAAUUUAAUUUUUUACAACAACAACUUUAUGCUUUAUACUCUACCACACAAAAUAUCCUUGAUACAGAUCCUGUUCCUUAUCCUCCCACUGUCAUUGUUUCACCACCCAUUAAUGGCUCUUCUAGGUGCCCUUGUUCAUAUUGCAAGUUACAUUUUAUAGCUCUAGAGACGAACUUCAGAACACUGUUUGCUAUGCGUAGUAAUAGGAUGUGUCUAGAAAUAGAUAAAAACCGUAUUUUGUCCAAAAUGUUUGUGAAUGUAGAUGAAAACAAAAUGGAAAAUGAUAACCUUUUGAAAUUAAUAGAAGAAACAAUUCCGGAAAGUGAACAAAUCAUACCUGACCCUACAAAAACAGGAAUAGAAGAAGAUACAUUAGUAUCUGAACCAGCAUUGGACAAAACAUUAACAAAUGUUGAAAACGAAUUACCAGUUCAAGAAGAAAAUGGAUCUAAGACUUUAGCUGAUCAAAAAACAUCUCAAAUGGAGUCAAGAAGUGAAUAUUCCAACCUACCACCAAAGAAAAGAAAGGCGUUUGUAACGGAGAUUGAAACAGGGGAAUGUCAGAUCACACAGACAAAAAAAGCUAAAACUGAUGAUGAAAUUGGAAAAAAGACUACUUCGGAAGACAUUGUUACUGAGAUGACUUUAAUGGCCAAUGAAACUGAAUGUUUAGAUUCAAAGGAAGAGCCGAGAAAACCUGUACACAUAAAAGAGUGCAGUCUUGUACUUAAGAAAUGUCCAUCUGUAUAUGACAAAUUUUCACCUGUCAAGAUGGUUAAAUCUGUGAAUGGAGUUUAUCGUGUUCUUCCAGACAACUCAGUGGAUUUUUCAAACUCCAGUCCUCAGCACGAAGACAUUCCAGAAACUCAUAGAAAAUCUAGACAUGAGAAAUGUCAUAAACAUAAAAGAUCUAAAGAAGAAAGGAGACUUCGAAAAGAACGAAAGCGUUUAAAAAAAUUAAGGAAGCAAGAGUCAAGUGACUACUGAUCACAAAGUAUUACAGUCAGUAAGAUUGAACUAACAAUAUUGCAUUAACUGCUCAUUCCUAUAAAUUUUAAGUUUUGCACUAUCUUAAGAGUUAGUCUUUUUUAAACAGAAAUGAGACUGAGUAAUUAACUACAAAUUAGAAAUAAUGAAUUUCAAUUCUUGUGUACAUAUACAGAUUUUGUUAUACUUAAUACGUAAGUGUUGCCAAAUCCUCAAAAUCUUUAAUUAUUUUUACUGUCCAGAAAGCACUAAUAAUAUUAUUUGAAAACUGAGUGCCUUCUGUCCUAUUGUAGUUUUAAAAUUUUCACAGAGAAACUGGAAAUUUAGCAAAACAGGACUAUGUAAAUAUGUUAUGUUGAACGACACCAAAAAGAGAUGUGAAUUAUAACUAAUUUUGUCAACAAAGUUACCUACUAUCAGUUCAGUGAUUCAAGACCUGAAGUAAAGUGAGUACUUCCUUCAGUUGGGAAAUAAGCUGACAACCUACAUACGGAGAACUCUUUCCAGUUUUUGCUAAACUAAAACUAUCAUCUUCACAAUGUCUUAUCAUCUUGCAGGAGUCUGCAUUCAGCUCUGUACUUUCAAUUUUAAUUUUUGAAAACAAAACCAAUAAAAAUAAUUUUGUUUUAGUUAUCUGAUUAAUAUGGUUAUGUUUGAAGAUUUAAUUUUAUACUUCUAAUCAUUCACCAUUCAAUUAAAAUAAUUACAAUUGAAAAGCCUUAACCUCUGAAGAGUUUUAAAAAUUAACUUUUUAUAUUUUUUCCAAUUUAUUUGUCAGUGUUGUGUAAAGAUGUUUUAUGUAAUAUUGCUCAAGCUCUUUUUGAUUAUCAUGUGAACAAUUAUUUUUAAAUUGAAUUAUUUCACCGGAUUCAAGACUAUUCACCAGGGACUGGACUAAUCAUCAUCAAUUGAAGAACUUAACUGGACAUCUCGACAAAAUUUAACUGAAUUUAAUUAUUUAAAUAACAAGGCUGAUCAACAGUUACAUGAAUUGCAUUACAUUACAUUAAUGCAUUACAUGCAUUAUUUAAUAUAGAAAAAGUCAAAUUUCUGAUAAAAGAGAAAAAUGUUACAAAGAAUACAAUGGACAAUUUAAUAAUCUUUACAACUUACAAAUGUAUAUUCGAGUUCUCAUUUUUAUCAAUGGACUGUUGGUAUGUUCUUUCACAAAUUUAUGAAGCCUUUUUCCUUCAAUCAUAAUGAUAGUAGUCAAAGAAAUAUUGUCUUUUUUUUAUAAAAGUUUAAGCUAUAUAAAAGUAAAAUAAAUAAUUAGAAGAUUUUUCAAUACAAAUGACUUUAUGAUUUAUGAAUUUUAAUGUAAAUCUCACAGAAGGAAACACCAAACUCUUUUGUUUUUCCUAUAAGUUUGGUUGUCACCAUGUUUUUAAAAUAUAUUGUGGUCAUCAACAACAGAUAACUUGAAAAACUCUUAAUGCUUGUUUUUUACUUAUUGUAAAUACUGAUUACAAAAUAUAUAUUUGAGUAAAAUCUGGAUUUAAUGGAAACACCAAGGUUGAUUCAUGGAAGAUGAUGUAUUGUCUUGAAGAACACAUAACAAAUGGAACAGAACAGUGUGACCUGCAUCAUCAAUAUCUAACUGUCUUAAAAUAAUGGAUAAAGAGAUUCCUUCUGUGAUAAAAUGGCCUUAAUUAUAUAAAAUGUAUCUAAACAAAAUUGCUCAAUUUUAUUAUCUUUGUGGAUGUUUUUUCUAUUAAUUUGAUACUAAUGAAUAUAGAUUGUAUUUUUGUAAUUUGAUUUCAAAAUUUAUAAUUAUGUUCACAAGUCACAUAUUAAAGGAAAAUACUAAGGACACAAACACAGGUAUUCAAAACCUAAGACAUGAGAUUAAUCAUCCAUGUAAAAAUAAACGAAUCAUCAUAAAACAGAGAUGAGGACACUUAAGUCUUACUUGUCAACAGAAAAGUUGUACAUAAAAAUCAAAGAUGUGUGUUAAACUUGUCACCAGAGUCAGAAGGUAAACUGCAUCUACAGACGAUACACACACUACAGCAGAUGAGUCGAGACUAGGACGAACAUUCAUUAAGGCACUUCCUCUGUCAAGACAACCUGGUUAAUGAGUGCCCGAUCUGUCCACCCCAUUAGUCAGGUCUUGUCUUAACUGCUGUGCUAAACAAAGCACUAGUCGACAACCAUCUAGUCAUCAUAAGCGAAAAAGAGCAGAGAAAAUAGUGGAAGAACAAGAACCUUCAGAGUCCGAUGAUGAUGAUGUACCUUUAUUUUGCUUGGAAGAACAAGCUGAAGAAAUUGAGAAUAAAUCUUCUAAAGAAAAAUCUAGGAGGAUAUACAACAAGACCAGAUCUGCCUCUUCAUCAAG